CCUACGGGAGGCAGCAGUGGGGAAUAUUGGGCAAUGGGCGAAAGCCUGACCCAGCAACGCCGCGUGAAGGAAGAAGGCUUUCGGGUUGUAAACUUCUUUUGACAGGGCAGAGCAGAAGACGGUACCUGUCGAAUAAGCCACGGCUAACUACGUGCCAGCAGCCGCGGUAAUACGUAGGUGGCAAGCGGUGUCCGGAUUUACUGGGGGUAAAGGGCGUGUAGCCGGGCUGACAGGUCAGAUGUGAAAUCCGGGGGCUCAACCCCCGAACUGCAUUUGAAACUGUUGGUCUUGAGUAUCGGAGAGGCAGGCGGAAUUCCUAGUGUAGCGGUGAAAUGCGUAGAUAGUAGGAGGAACACCAGUGGCGAAGGCGGCCUGCUGGACGACAACUGACGGUGAGGCGCGAAAGCGUGGGGAGCAAACAGGAUUAGAUACCCGAGUAGUC
rnacentral:rRNA from 1 species